CGAAGUCCUUGUUGUAAGAACGCUUGGUUUCAUAGAGACUGUUUACAGCAAAUGGGAAAUAAAGCGCUGUCAGUGUUGUGGUUCCAGUGGCACACAUUUAGCCUGCUCCUCAUUACGGUCAUGGGAGCAAAAUUGGGAGUGUUUGGAAUGUAGGGGUAUUAUCUACAAUUCAGGAGAGUUCCAAAAAGCCAAAAAACAUGUAUUACCCAAUUCUAAUAAUGUGGGGAUUACAGAUUGUUUGUUGGAAGAGUCAUCACCUAAAUUACCCAGACAGUCACCUGGAUCCCAGAGUAAAGAUCUACUGAGGCAAGGCAGCAAAUUUAGAAGAAAUGUAUCAACACUAUUAAUAGAGUUAGGAUUCCAAAUU
rnacentral:lncRNA from 1 species